rnacentral:rRNA from 1 species
AAUCAACGCUGGCGGCGUGCCUCAGACAUGCAAGUCGAACGAUUAAAGCUCCCUUCGGGGAGUGCAUAGAGUGGCGCACGGGUGAGUAACACGUAAGUAAUCUACCCUCGGGUGGGGAAUAUCAACCGGAAACGGUUGCUAAUACCGCAUAAUGCAGCGGCACCGCAAGGUGACAGUUGUUAAAGGAGCAAUCCGCCUGAGGAGGAGCUUGCGGCAGAUUAGCUAGUUGGUAAGGUAAUGGCUUACCAAGGCUACGAUCUGUAUCCGGUUUAAGAGGACGGUCGGACACACUGACACUGAAUAACGGGUCAGACUCCUACGGGAGGCAGCAGUCGGGAAUUUUGGGCAAUGGGGGAACCCUGACCCAGCAACGCCGCGUGAAGGAUGAAGUAUUUCGGUAUGUAAACUUCGAAAGAAUAGGAAGAAUUAAUGACGGUACUAUUUAUAAGGUCCGGCUAACUACGUGCCAGCAGCCGCCGUAAAAC